GCCGAGCGCAGGUUGGCCGGGGGGGGGCUAGCCUUGGGGGACACAAAGCCGCGUUGCCACUGCCCCAGACUUAGCCGGCCGGCCCAUGGCACCCACUGGCUCUGGAGUAGAGAGGCUUAGCAAUCCCCCCAGGGUUAGGAUGCAAACAACACAGCAGAGCUAUGAGAUAUAUAAUGUGCUCUCUAGAUUAAGAGCAGAAAGCUACAGAAAGUGAAAUGCCUCAACGCCGAGACGAGCUCACCGUAGCUAGACUGUUCCUGCGAUACCAAGAUCCACAUUUUGCCACAGAAAUUCAAGUCAAGAGCCGUCCACCCUCCUCCCCGGCUCUUGAACCAUUAAAAUAAUUUGAGAGACAAACAUACGGGAAUAAAACAACCGGGAAUAAAACCGAGGAGCCGCUUUUCCACACAGCCUGACUCAACUCUGCAAGACAACCCAGCGCAUCACAAAGCCAAGCAACCAGCAGCUCUAUCUGCAAGUCUGCCCGCGUCUCGGGCUCUGACCCCAGCCUCUCCUGGCCCACUCCCCUGCCAAGAGCCUUCUUUGCUUUCCACCUAUGUUAUGCUGGGAAGCAACAUCUCUGGGAAAGGUGGAGCCAGCACUCAAGCUAGGAGAAACACUCUUACUUUUCUCAACGGGCUCUUCGUCCCUAUUAGCAUCAGCCCCCGCAGCCGCCUUCUCCCAGGUCCCCGCAGCAGAAGCGGCACUUCAGCCUUAAACACCGUGGGAGAAAAGGAGUGGGGUGGGUGGGCUGUGGGGAGAGCGGGGGCAUGGGAAACACUCCACAAAGGCCUUCCAAAUGACUUUGCUCCAGUCAUGCAGGGGGCUUUGCGGGGUUACCGGGUGGGUGUUUGUUGUUGGCUUGUUUGCUUAAUUCACCACCGAGCAAGGGGAGAGGAGAAACAUUCAGCCGCUUCCAGGAAGAGCAUGAAAAUCUUACCCCAGCAUCCAGAAGUCUCUCGCCUGUGCAAAAAUAUAUCCCCACGGAGACUGACAGCUAGGAUCCCGCGCUGGGCUGUAGACCUCCAGAUCAAUGAGGAUGGAGUGCACUUUUUUUUUUUCGUCCCUUACAGAUUAAAUAUACCCGGUCCACAAAUCGAGACUCCUUCUCGAUCUCCCAGUGACUUGGGUUCCUGUUGAUUUGGGGUUUUAUAAUUUUUUUUUGUUCUAGUUGGUCUGCCUUUAGACGGAGAGAAAUCUAGCCACUAGGGCACAUCGUCCUUCCUGCCAGCUUCAGGCAAAAUGCAGCAAUAUCACAGGCUAAUGACGAUUAUGGCUGUUAUUAUGACUACUAUUAUUGCUAUUUAUUUUUUCCUCUCUCUGUCUCUCCUGGUUCCCUAGGAUUUCCGAUGACGAUUUGCACACAAGGUGACUGUAAGAGGCUAAAAUGCUGUCUAAUUCCACGGAUUCCCAUCGCACGAGGAAAAAAAAAAAGUCCCAGUGUUUUUGAUCACGGGACACCCGGCCGUUCCUCCCCAGUACACGCUGGGUCACAGUACAGUAAUGACCGUGGGUUGUGCGUUGUAGGACUUGACCUUUCCUACGUAGAAGAGGGCGCUU